rnacentral:misc_RNA from 1 species
AAUUAGCAUGUACUUCCAGUGUUGUUAGGAUUUUUUUAUGUGGUCCGGAAAUUCUACUAGAGCUCCGUUGACGGUUGUGGGUGGUCCUGGGUCGUCUUGUCAUGGAAAUGUUAAAAUACGAUAAAAUGUAUGGUUAAGUUUACAAAAUCUACAAUAUAAAAUGUUAGCUUGAAACUGAACAUUUUUGAGAAUGUCACAAUACCUGCUAAACACAAAUAAAGUUUUAAUUUUGAACACAAUAUCAUCCUUUUCUGGAAGAGUUCUGAAAAUGAUUUUUGGCAGGAAGGUAAAAGUUCUUCUAUGCCAUAGGUACGGGCAGCCCACACUUUGGCAGCAACUACGGAUAACUGGUCUGGUGCUGCUAGCAGUGCUAAUUGGGGUCUUUGCCUUACUGGUCUUCUUAGGCCCAGUGCUUUUCUAUUUUUCUCCAUCGCUUCAAGAUUACUUGAUUUUCCGAGGAUCACCUGACUUUUCAACUGAGCUGGCUGCUCCUGAGCUGUUGAAUUUGAAAAAUGCCCGUGCUUUCUACAUAACUACUGAUGAAGGCAUCAAACUAGGCACUUGGCACAUCCUACCAUCUGCAGCACCCAACCCAACAUCACCUGAGUCCAUAGGAUCCAGAAGUGCUCGUUUUGAAGAUGAACUCCGCAAAGAUGGCUCAGUUGCUGUUAUUUAUUUUCAUGGCAACACGCCCUCCAGAGCACAGGCACACAGAGUUGAUCUCUACAGGAUACUUGCUGACCUGGGGUGCCAUGUUAUUGCAUUUGAUUACAGGAGCUUUGCUGACUCUUCUAUUGCCCCACUAUCUGAGACAGCCUUAGUGAAGGAUGGGAUGUUUGUGUAUGACUACAUACUGGAGAGAGUGGGUCCUGGCACGGCCAUUAUAUUGUGGGGACAUUCUCUUGGUUCAGGCAUAGCAGCGUCAGUUGCAGCAGCGCUGUGUGGCAGAGGCAGUAGCAGCGACAUGCAGCACUGUGCUGAUGGUCUUGUGCUGCAUGCUGGCUUCACAGAUUUGCUCAGUGCUAUUCAAGACAAUUCACUUGCUGUCGUAAUGAAUUGGGUGCCGUGGUUCACGCCGCUGGUGCGCAGCACUCUGGAGCAGCGGGACUUGAUGUUCAACACGACAGCGAACGUGGUGCGCGUGAGCGGUCCGCUUCUGGUCCUGCACGCUCAGGACGAUGACAUCUUGCCUGUCACGCACGGCAGGGCGCUCCGUGUUGCUGCCAGCGGUCGCGGCGGUGACAGUGACGCCGCGGGAGGUGCGUCAGGCGUCACGUACAUUGAGUUCUCAGGAGACUUCGGCUACUCCCACAACGGCAUCGUCGAGGCACCCGAGCUGCGACAAAUUGCUGGGGAGUACAUCCAGCUGUGCCGGGAGUUCCACAGCCUGGUGCAGGACAUGUACCGGUCAGGAGCAUCUCUGGUCCACCGCAGCAGGCUUAUAGCUGCACUGCACGCCCAUGCGCUCCCCCUCAGAUGAGUGGUCUCCUAAAAUGAUUGGCCUCCUCCUAAAAUAAAAGGUUCCAUCCUAAAAUGAGAGGUUCCCUCCUAAAAUGAGUGGCCUCCUCCUAAAAUAAAAGGUUCCAUCCUAAAAUGAGAGGUUCCCUCCUAAAAUGAGUGGCCUCCUCCUAAAAUGAGAGGUUCUCUCCUAAAAUGAGUGGCCUCCUCCUAAAAUAAAAAGUUCCAUCCUAAAAUGAGUUGUUACCUCCUAAUAUGAGUGGUCUCCUCCUAAAAUAAAAGGUUCCAUCCUAAAAUGGGUGGCCUCCUCCUAAACGAGUGGUUACCUCUUAAAAUGAGUGGUCCCUACUCCGAUGAGUGGUCUCAUCAACAACUGUUGCUUAUAAUCAAUUGCUAUCGUACUUAUUCUUAGUCGAACGAAACAAUGGCGGUUGCUUACUCCGCUUGACUAUAAUUGUAUUGGUCUUUGGACUGAGAAUAACAGACACGAUGAGGACCAAUAGCAAUUCGUUUCUAAAGGCGGGGUACACGAAUAAUUGAGAAGAGCUUACAGGGAUUGAAUACUUCGGUGACUACGAAGGAAUUUUUAAAAGACUUCAUCUGUGAACUCAAUCUAAGGUUUUAAAAUUUUCGAAUCGAAGACAGUCCUCAAAGGAUAAAUUUUCCUAAUGUAGUCGUGUCUAUAAACUUUCCAAUGUGUGCGUGCUGCAAUGCGAGCAAAGUCAUUAUAAGAAAGGCCUUCAACUUCUGCUUCUAAAUUAAAGUAUUUUGUUCAAUUCUAGUGGAGUUCAUUUACGAGAGCUGUGUGUUUCAAACGCUCGUAUAAUACAACUGCACCAUGAUGAUAACUGCUUCAUAUAUUUCUGUGUAUGGUCCCAUAUGGGAUUCGUCAAGAUUAUAGUUUGUUUUCUGUUGGUUGUAACUCGUAUUUGGAAAUUUUCCACACGCCAUUGACGAGAAUAUAAACGAUUUACUUGCCAAAUUCCAAUCAAUUUUUCAGGAUCACAAAUACUUUAUGGCUGUGCCAAUAGCUUUAGUCAGUGUAUCAUGUUAAAUAUAUCAAAGCUUACUGUACUAUGAAUAAUUUAAAUAGUUCUUGUACAUAGCCUGAAAUAUUAGGUAUGCAUUUUGUUCGGAGUUUGCGUUGAAAUAACUCUGUAUUUAUUUCAGUUUUUAACACGAAACUUGCCAGAAUAUUUAUUCCUAGUUGAAUUUGAGGUUUAUAAUUUCAUUGAAAUAUUUACUGAAAAAUUCGUUUAUGUGAAUCUUUUUCAUCACUCUGGUCGUAAGCACCUUGAAUAAUAUUUUGCUCACUUUUAACGAUCAGUAAACAGAGAAAGAUGUAGAAGCCAUUUUAUUCUUAUUGCAAUUAAUUUCCUUGUGGGGCCUCAAAUCCUUUGAAAAGUUAAAUUUUGAUACUGAAUUAUUGUAUUUUACUAGUGUUACUAUUGUUCUCGAAAGCAUAGCGUGUCCGUGUAAAUUGUAUGCUUUAUUUCUGUGCCAAACUCGCCAUGAUUUCUUGCUAUUUUCGUCAAGUUGGUGAAUAUUGAUAAGCUCAAUUCCAUUCCAUUAAUAAUUUAUGAUGAGAAUAUUGGGUUGGGGUAAUUCAGGUGUAAUAGACCCAUGGCCAUUUUUGUAACAAAGCCCCAUGCACUCACGGACCGUCUUCAUUUGUUGUUCGUAAGAUGAUGUUAUCCAAGGAAGACAUUCUAUUAUGCAAAUGUAAUCUGGAAUACUCUCUUCAUCCUUAAGUGAACAAUCGUUCUUGAACAGAGUGAUGAGGUCUAGAUAGUGUUAUGUUGUUAUCAAUAAUUUUUGUGAAAUGAUUUAGGCAAGAAUAUGUAUGUAUACCAAAGAGGCUGAUUUGAUUUCUUCGAGUAAUUAUCGCUAACCUUUAUUUUUAUUUAUUACCGUGGUCCAGCUGAUGAAUUUGUAUAUAAUGGGAUGGAACUUAAGCAGAGAUAUUUGGAAUGUUGGAAGAAAGUGUGCAAUGCAUCCAGUUGGUGCUCGAUGUAUCUUCUUAAAUUGGCCAAUGUUUUCACUUAGAUAAGCGGAUGGAGGAUAAAUUAAAUUAUUUUGGAA